AGGGGUGUAGCUCAGUGGUAGAGCACAUGCUUAGCAUACACAAGGCCCCAGGUUCAAUUCCCAGCAUCUCCA
rnacentral:tRNA from 1 species